CUGUUAGACCAAGCUGAGUGCCGCCACCACUUCAACAACAGAGCAUUGUGCUAUACUUCAAACUUGAUUGAUUUAGUAGUUGAAAAACAAUCAUGUCCAAAAGAUUCAGCAGUGUAUGAAUCAAUUAGCUUUCUGACAUCAGGUGAAAAAAUUCUCACAAGACAGAGAACAAAAAACUGCCCGAUCGAUAUGCUUGCUAAAGAAUAAAAACCUAACCCACUAUGAAGUCACGUAAAAUAGAAAGAGAUAUCAAGGCUGAUAUGCAUCUUUUCCAAGAUGACCUGAAACUCUAGAAAAAGAAUUUGCCAGCAGGAAUACCUAUUUGUAUGGAAUCAAUCUUCCCAUCAUUUAAGUAUCAUUCACAAACCACGAAUCAUUCCCUAUAUUCACCACAAGCAUGGAAAUAGAAACCAUAGGUUACUGCAACUCUUUCUCAGUGCAGAUCAUUUCUAGUAUUUAUGAACUCGGACCAGAGCUCCUCCAAAGCAAUGAAGAUACUGGAUCUUGCCUGUUGAGGUUUUCCUAUCAAUCAAACAUCUGCAAGGAAAAUAAAUCCCAAAUUAACUCUGCAAAAAAUUGUAGAAAGAUUGGGUUAUGGGGUAACUGAAAGCAUGUGAAGGUGCCUAUUGCAGCUAAAUUCAAAAAUCAAAUUGCUACAGAAACCCCAUGGAAUUGUUUUACACAAUUCCCUUCAAAAAUAUUGUCAACUACGUAGCAACUAAAAAUUCCAUGAAAAUUAUUUAAAGAAAUGAUGCUUCAAAAGCAUCGCUUGUCUCCUUAAACGGCCAAUCAACAUUUGUAAUAUAAGGAAUCAUACAAAUCUGCUUGAUGUUUAGGUCUCAUUGGAUAGUUUGUUCAGCUCAAAAUGAUCUGGAAAACAAUAUCCUCCAAAAUUGAAAAAUAAAAAAAUAAAAUAGCAACUAACAAUAUAGCUUAGCUCAUAAUGACAAGAAAACUGGAAUCUAAAUCUGUUGAACAAUAUUAUGUAUAUCAUCAACUUUCUCUUCCCUAUUCUCAUUUGCAGUCAUGCCUCAUGCAACACUUGCAGAUGGUUCAAUCUCAUUACUAAAACUGUGUUGCUACACUAAUUAACUUCCAGAUCCAACUUACUUUCCUGUGAAUUCAAUCUUAAAUUAAAUCACGCAUAAAAAGAAAGAAUACUAUGUACAAUGUGAUGCUAGGAUAAAGAAGGAAAAUACUUCUGAUAUUUUCUUCUAUAUUUGUUCCUGGCUAUAUGCCUCCUAUUUAUAUUGGCUGCUUUCUCUGAAAAAAUUGAUCUAGAAAACACUUUGUUUAUGCAACCAAAGGGUUCAACUCGACUUCGAUACAGUCACAGCCUGGUUUACAAUCACAAGAUAGGGUUUUGAUUCUAUUUGCAAUAUAGGACUAGGGUUUCCAUAUGUCACGCAGCAAGGACGAAUAGAUAGAAGCUAAAAUUCCACAAGUGUGAUGAAAAGGGAAACUUCAGCAUAUGGCAAACUGGGAUACCAGCUCUAAUGGUACAGCAGAGGGACCAAACCCAAAAAAGAUGGAUAAGGAUGACUGAAAGGAGAACAACAGAUUUCUUUUAGCAUAAGUUGUAUAUGCUUGGGGCAUUCGAUUAACCAGACUGAGACCAAAUGGCAAGGGGUUUGUAGGCGAAACUUAAAAUCUGUUCAUGGCAAAGAACAUGACUAACAAAAUUUUUACAAAAGAGAGAUUUUGAUACAUCUGAUUGACCGCAUAACCUUGUUACAUAAGAAAGUUAACAAUUUGGUGACUUCAAGAUAAGGAAAUCAUAUUUUUUUGUAUCCUGCCGCCUUCUAUCAUCUCAUCACUAGAGUGAUUUAUGAGAAAGAAAUCUUAUCUAAUAAGGAGGUGGUUGCAGUCCCCUAAGCUCUCAAUGAAUGAAGAAAAAUUUUGAAGCAGAAAGUUCCCAAUCAAAAUGAUCAGUGACAAAUACAGAUUGUGGACAAGGUAGAUCUUGAGUUAAAGGUGCAGAAGGGGAAAGUCCAAAGAAGUUCCAAGUUGAAAGGUAAGAAGGGGCAUGCUUUAAGUGCCCUCAAAAGGGCUAACUAUAAGAAAGAUUGUUCUCUGUUGAAGAAAAUAAUGAACAGAAGGAGAACUACAAGUUCUACGAGUGUGUCCUCAGACAUGAGACGAAAAGACAAUGGUGGUUUCUGCAAGUAAUAGUGUUUAUCUUUCUCCCUGGACGUUAAGUUCAGCUUGUUUGUCUCACUAUAUAGUAAAAGAGAUUGAUCUAAUACUUACAAACAGUGUGAUACUUGCAGUAUUGAGCCAGGUGAUAACUGUUAACGCAAGGCGAUUGGUAUAAGGGGAAUCAAAAUUAAAAUGUUAGAUGAGGUGAUCAAAAUCUUGAAAAAUGUCAACAUUGGCCGGGAAUUGAGAAAAAUUUGAUUUCCCUGGGCUAUUUAGAAAAGACUGGGCUCUUUAGAAUGACUUUGUAUGGUUUUUUUUGUGUAGAUCCUGUAAAUGGAAUCCUAAAGAUUACCAAAGGUCUCGUGGUUGUAAUGAAAGGGGAAUCAAGUAGAAAAUAAUUUGUACAAGUUGGUUGGUACUACGGUUAUACUUGAUACUUCAAUUGUAUCAUUAGGAUCUGACACUGAUGACUACUCUCUGACAUAUGGAUCAUAUUGGCAAGCAAGACAUGGUGGAACUUCACAAAAGAAAGCUGCUGAAGGGGUUAAUUGUUUUUGUCCGUUUAAUUUGAGAACACUAGAUCCUUAGGAAACAAAAAGGGAUGAGCUUCGCAUCUUCUCCAGCCAAGAUAUCAGCAAAGGGUAUGGACAAGUAGAGAUUGGAUUAUUUUAUGCUUAGACUAAUGAGCGGUCUAAGUUGGAUUUCCAAGUCAACAAAAUGCAUCUUUGUCAGUUAC
rnacentral:lncRNA from 1 species